rnacentral:misc_RNA from 1 species
GAUGAAGAACGUAGCGAAAUGCGAUAAGUAAUGUGAAUUGCAGAAUUCAGUGAAUCAUCGAAUCUUUGAACGCACAUUGCGCCCUCUGGUAUUCCGGGGGGCAUGCCUGUUCGAGCGUCAUUAUACCACUCAAGCUCUCGCUUGGUAUUGGGGUUCGCGGUUCCGCGGCCCCUAAAAUCAGUGGCGGUGCCUGUCGGCUCUACGCGUAGUAAUACUCCUCGCGAUUGAGUCCGGUAGGUCUACUUGCCAGCAACCCCCAAUUUUUACAGGUUGACCUCGGAUCAGGUAGGGAUACCCGCUGAACUUAAGCAUAUCAAUAAGCGGAGGA